rnacentral:ncRNA from 2 species
UGAGCGGAAUCAGUUUCAGGUGCCCUGCUCUUGUAGGGAGAAUCGGGAAGGCGGUGCAAAUCCGCUGCGUGCCCAACGCUGUAACGGGGACUGGUCGACGAAUAUGCCACUGAAGUCACUUUCGGGAAGGGCGUCGACUGGGGUGAUCCGAAGCCAGAAGACCGGCCUGGAACCCAUAUUGCCG